ACGAGAAGCUUACUAGCGGCCGUCAGGUGUCCGAACGCCGAACCAGCUAUCGCGAACCUGGUGAUAGUGGACGCUCGGAUCGUAGACGUUGGUGGCGAGUUUCAGAACGCUCGGCGACAGACGUCCAAUCGAGUUCAGCACACUGUAGGAUGCAACGACCCGGUCGUGCUGCGCCGUCACCAGUGCGACGCGCGCAUUCACCAGCGCCUGCUGCGCGUUGAGG
rnacentral:misc_RNA from 1 species